UAGACUUGACAUCCCCUGCAUAACCCAGAGAUGGGCGAAGUCCUUCGGGACAGGGUGACAGGUGGUGCAUGGUUGUCGUCAGCUCGUGUCGUGAGAUGUUGGGUUAAGUCCCGCAACGAGCGCAACCCUUAUCAUUAGUUGCUACCAUUAAGUUGAGCACUCUAGUGAGACUGCCCGGGUUAACCGGGAGGAAGGUGGGGAUGACGUAGAACGGUUGGUU
rnacentral:misc_RNA from 1 species